UGCUAUGCCAACAUCUUGUCAU
rnacentral:miRNA from 1 species